rnacentral:rRNA from 1 species
CCUACGGGAGGCCGCAGUGAGGAAUAUUGGUCAAUGGACGAGAGUCUGAACCAGCCAAGUAGCGUGAAGGAUGACUGCCCUAUGGGUUGUAAACUUCUUUUAUAUGGGAAUAAAACGUUCCACUUGUGGGAUUUUGUAUGUACCCUAUUAAUAAGUAUCUGCUAACUCCUUGCCAGCAGCCGCGGUAAUACGGAGGAUCCGAUCGUUAUCCGGAUUUAUUGGGUUUAAAGGGAGCGUAGGUGGAUUGUUAAGUCAGUUGUGAAAGUUUGCGGCUCAACCGUAAAAUUGCAGUUGAAACUGGCAGUCUUGAGUACAGGAGAGGUGGGCGGAAUGCGUGGUGUAGCGGUGAAAUGCUUAGAUAUCACGAAGAACUCCGAUUGCGAAGGCAGUUCACUGGACUGCAACUGACACUGAGGCUCGAAAGUGUGGGUAUCAAACAGGAUUAGAUACCCGAGUAGUC